UUGAGGGCUUCCAAGAAAAAGGGGUUUGGGAGGAGGAGGGGGCUGUACAGAUCACGUGAGCUCGGUGACCUGCAGAACAGACCCAAGGGGAUUUACGUUGCGUGGUAUACCGGGAGACUUGCAGACUGAUUCCCAAAGAGAACGCUCAACAAUAUAGAUUUUGUCAGACUUUGCAAUCUGUGCGUCUGCUCAAAAGUAGACGUGGUAGUUGCAGGCAAGAGAAGGCGCAAAUAUUCAAGUAGAAGGUGUCAAAACCUAUACAAAGAAGACAGAUGGCGUCGACAAGGGCGUUCUUCUGUAGUGCAUCCUCCACCUUUCCAAAUGCCACACCCACCAAUAUUUGUAUCGCCACUCACCACUGCAGAAACUUCUCACUGCUGCCUAUAGCCACAAACAAGUCCUUCCAACAAUCAACUCAUGCAUGCCAUGGUCGGACUUCUGGGUGGCAGAUCUGUUGUUGGUAAGAACAAUGAAACAUCCCAUUUUGAAGAGAAUGUUAGAGACGAGCAUGGGCUCAUAAGUUCCAAAAUAUCAGUUUUGCGUGAUGUUCUUUGCGCUGAAGACAAUGGCGUAGGUGCCCUUGUUGCUGGCAAGGAAGUAGUCCUUGUCCAGAUCCACCGCGGUCUUGGGAAGUUUUUAAACUUGUAGAAAAUCGCUCAAGGUUUAUAACUUAUUUUCUAGCAUUUUUUCUUUAAUCUGGAAAAUUCUAUGGACUGUAGAUUCGUCAUAGCUUUAGGAUUUUAUUUUAGAUAUCUGUUGAGAGUGGUGGCAUGGGAAUUUGUUUAGUUUUAUUCAAAAUUAAAUCGGCUAGUUCUGUACUUCAUAGGCACAAGACAGGUAAUCAAUGCUUGUCUUGCAUGCAAAGUCAAGAAGCUUACUUAUGAAAGCUCUUCAAGCAUUGUCUGUGAUGGAAUCCAUGAAAUCAUAAAUGGGGAUAAAUUCUUACCAUAUCCUGAUAAGUAUAUAAUUUUUACUGUAAAAAAAUCUUAAAUAGACUUCUUUUUGAUA